ensembl:snRNA U6 U6 spliceosomal RNA
GCGCUUGCUUCAUUAGCACAAAACUAGAGCCAUACAGAGAAGAUUAACAAGGCCCCUGCACAACAAUGACACACAAAUUUGUGAAACGUUCCAUAUUUGU